GGUGAGUCUCUCCAAGUUCAAAGAGCCAUAUGCAGGCCUUGGAUAUCUCACAGUUGUCCGUCCCUGGCUUAAAGCCACUUGCAGUCUGGACUUCCCUUGCUGGUCACCACUGAGAAACUGUUUACCAGUAUAGGUUGAUCCAUGGCCAGCGGGACAAUAGCAGUUAAAGAACAGGAUGCACUUCUGAAGUUCUUGGUGGAACUCUGGAGCUUUCCACUUCUGACUGUGGAUGUGAAAGUCACUCUUUAAGAUAGUCCUCCAGAAGCACGGUGAGAUAUAUGAUGCAAUGCACAGCUUGUGAAGGAGAAGAGAUGCAGAUUUGGAACUCAAAACAGAGGCAGAAAAGCCUGCAUUUAUGUUGGAGCUUAAUAAAGAUAGCCUGAGAGAAGACAAUGAGGAGUACAAGGAAGAAAUUCACCCGCCCAGAUGUGACAAGCCAUGGCUAAUUUCCACCCUUCUGCAUUUUAUUAUCCUAUAAACUGGAGCGCAGGAGUGAGAUUCCUCUUCAGUCCCAAAUGGGCCACUUCAGCAAUCAAUGUGCACAUGGCUUUGAGAUAAAGAUGCCUUGCAGACAAAGGCUGUAUCACCUCUGGUCCUGCAAUUCUGUGAUUCCACAUUCUUGCUCAUUUGAAUGCCAAACAAACAAUUCUUUUCAAGUUGUUUCCAUUCAAGAGAAACUGGGGAGUGUGUGUGUGUG